rnacentral:rRNA from 1 species
CUGCUGCCUCCCGUAGGAGUUAGGGAUUCUUCCGCAAUGGACGAAAGUCUGCGGAGCAACGCCGCGUGCCUGAUGAAGGUUUUCGGAUCGUAAAGUUCUGUUGUUAGGGAAGAACAAGUACCGUUCGAAUAGGGCGGUACCUUGACGGUACCUAACCAGAAAGGCACGGCUAACUACGUGCCAGCAGCCGCGGUAAU